rnacentral:rRNA from 1 species
GGUUAAGCGACUAAGCGUACACGGUGGAUGCCCUGGCAGUCAGAGGCGAUGAAGGACGUGCUAAUCUGCGAAAAGCGCCGGCGAGGUGAUAUGAACCUUUGACCCGGCGAUGUCCGAAUGGGGAAACCCAGUGUGUUCCGACACACUAUCGUUAACUGAAUACAUAGGUUAACGAGGCGAACCGGGGGAACUGAAACAUCUAAGUACCCCGAGGAAAAGAAAUCAACCGAGAUUCCCCCAGUAGCGGCGAGCGAACGGGGAGCAGCCCAGAGUCUGAAUCAGCUUGUGUGUUAGUGGAAGCGUCUGGAAAGUCGCACGGUACAGGGUGACAGUCCCGUACACGAAAGCACACAGGCUGUGAACUCGAAGAGUAGGGCGGGACACGUGGUAUCCUGUCUGAAUAUGGGGGGACCAUCCUCCAAGGCUAAAUACUCCUGACUGACCGAUAGUGAACCAGUACCGUGAGGGAAAGGCGAAAAGAACCCCGGCGAGGGGAGUGAAAAAGAACCUGAAACCGUGUACGUACAAGCAGUGGGAGCCUCUUUUAUGGGGUGACUGCGUACCUUUUGUAUAAUGGGUCAGCGACUUAUAUUCUGUAGCAAGGUUAACCGUAUAGGGGAGCCGAAGGGAAACCGAGUCUUAACUGGGCGUUAAGUUGCAGGGUAUAGACCCGAAACCCGGUGAUCUAGCCAUGGGCAGGUUGAAGGUUGGGUAACACUAACUGGAGGACCGAACCGACUAAUGUUGAAAAAUUAGCGGAUGACUUGUGGCUGGGGGUGAAAGGCCAAUCAAACCGGGAGAUAGCUGGUUCUCCCCGAAAGCUAUUUAGGUAGCGCCUCGUGAAUUCAUCUUCGGGGGUAGAGCACUGUUUCGGCUAGGGGGCCAUCCCGGCUUACCAACCCGAUGCAAACUACGAAUACCGAAGAAUGUUAUCACGGGAGACACACGGCGGGUGCUAACGUCCGUCGUGAAGAGGGAAACAACCCAGACCGCCAGCUAAGGUCCCAAAGUCAUGGUUAAGUGGGAAACGAUGUGGGAAGGCACAGACAGCCAGGAUGUUGGCUUAGAAGCAGCCAUCAUUUAAAGAAAGCGUAAUAGCUCACUGGUCGAGUCGGCCUGCGCGGAAGAUGUAACGGGGCUAAACCAUGCACCGAAGCUGCGGCAGCGACACUAUGUGUUGUUGGGUAGGGGAGCGUUCUGUAAGCCGUUGAAGGUGUCCUGUGAGGGGUGCUGGAGGUAUCAGAAGUGCGAAUGCUGACAUAAGUAACGAUAAAGCGGGUGAAAAGCCCGCUCGCCGGAAGACCAAGGGUUCCUGUCCAACGUUAAUCGGGGCAGGGUGAGUCGACCCCUAAGGCGAGGCCGAAAGGCGUAGUCGAUGGGAAACAGGUUAAUAUUCCUGUACUUGGUGUUACUGCGAAGGGGGACGGAGAAGGCUAUGUUAGCCGGGCGACGGUUGUCCCGGUUUAAGCAUGUAGGCGGAGGUUCCAGGUAAAUCCGGUUCCUUGUUAACGCUGAGGUGUGAUGACGAGGCACUACGGUGCUGAAGUAACAAAUGCCCUGCUUCCAGGAAAAGCCUCUAAGCAUCAGGUAACAUCAAAUCGUACCCCAAACCGACACAGGUGGUCAGGUAGAGAAUACCAAGGCGCUUGAGAGAACUCGGGUGAAGGAACUAGGCAAAAUGGUGCCGUAACUUCGGGAGAAGGCACGCUGAUAUGUAGGUGAAGCCCCUGCGGGUGGAGCUGAAAUCAGUCGAAGAUACCAGCUGGCUGCAACUGUUUAUUAAAAACACAGCACUGUGCAAACACGAAAGUGGACGUAUACGGUGUGACGCCUGCCCGGUGCCGGAAGGUUAAUUGAUGGGGUUAGCGGUAACGCGAAGCUCUUGAUCGAAGCCCCGGUAAACGGCGGCCGUAACUAUAACGGUCCUAAGGUAGCGAAAUUCCUUGUCGGGUAAGUUCCGACCUGCACGAAUGGCGUAAUGAUGGCCAGGCUGUCUCCACCCGAGACUCAGUGAAAUUGAACUCGCUGUGAAGAUGCAGUGUACCCGCGGCAAGACGGAAAGACCCCGUGAACCUUUACUAUAGCUUGACACUGAACACUGGUCCUUGAUGUGUAGGAUAGGUGGGAGGCUUUGAAGCGUGGACGCCAGUCUGCGUGGAGCCAACCUUGAAAUACCACCCUUUAAUGGCUGGUGUUCUAACGUAGACCCGUGAUCCGGGUUGCGGACAGUGUCUGGUGGGUAGUUUGACUGGGGCGGUCUCCUCCCAAAGAGUAACGGAGGAGCACGAAGGUUAGCUAAUCCUGGUCGGACAUCAGGAGGUUAGUGCAAUGGCAUAAGCUAGCUUGACUGCGAGAGUGACGGCUCGAGCAGGUGCGAAAGCAGGUCAUAGUGAUCCGGUGGUUCUGAAUGGAAGGGCCAUCGCUCAACGGAUAAAAGGUACUCCGGGGAUAACAGGCUGAUACCGCCCAAGAGUUCAUAUCGACGGCGGUGUUUGGCACCUCGAUGUCGGCUCAUCACAUCCUGGGGCUGAAGUAGGUCCCAAGGGUAUGGCUGUUCGCCAUUUAAAGUGGUACGCGAGCUGGGUUUAGAACGUCGUGAGACAGUUCGGUCCCUAUCUGCCGUGGGCGCUGGAGAAUUGAGGGGGCUGCUCCUAGUACGAGAGGACCGGAGUGGACGCAUCACUGGUGUUCGGGUUGUCAUGCCAAUGGCACUGCCCGGUAGCUAAAUGCGGAAGAGAUAAGUGCUGAAAGCAUCUAAGCACGAAACUUGCCCCGAGAUGAGUUCUCCCUGAGACUUUAAGUCUCCUGAAGGAACGUUGAAGACUACGACGUUGAUAGGUCGGGUGUGUAAGCGCAGCGAUGCGUUGAGCUAACCGAUACUAAUGAACCGUGAGGCUUAACCUU